rnacentral:lncRNA from 1 species
GCCGCUUCAUGAAUAGGCGUGUCUGGUCCGGGAGGAUCUCCAUGUUGCCUCCUUUAACAGAGAGGAAACUGAGUGACUUGCUCAAGAUCACAAAGGUGAGAGUUGCAGAGCCGAGGCUAGAUGCUAUCUUCUAAACCAACAGCCAAUGUUUUCCGUCACAUCAGACUUUCUUUUGCUUACGUUCCAUUUAAAGGUGGCAAAGGGGAAUAUCUCAUAACCAGGAUAGCAUUUAGAAUCCAAAUCUCUUAUUCCAAUUUGUUGCCCAUAUUUUCCCAACUCUGUACUCCUGCCAUUGCCCAACUCCAAAAUUGCCCAAGACUUCUAAUUCUCCUCAUGUCAAGAUAUACCAACCUGUUUGUUAUUCUUAGAACAUCAUAAUUUUUAAAAAAUUUACGCUGGUUAAACACCAAAAAAAAAAAAAAAUAGGUUUUUGCCUACACAUAGCUAAACACAAAAGGAGAAUUCUCUGUGAAACCAUGAAUCUCCAUUCCAUACCUUUGACUUUUUUAAAAGUAUAUAAUAAAGUUGACAAUACUUUCCAAACAGUCCUGCUUAUCUGUCCUUCUGUCUGAAUUUCAUUUCUCUUCAGUACAUUUUAGAAAAAUGUUUAAAUUGCUUUAAAAAAUUUUUUUUGGCAUCACUAUUGCUAAUUCCCCAACACUUCCCUAGAAUAUGACUUUUUGAAGAGCAGCAUUACAUCACAUUUAUGUAUAUGUGUAAAGCACUUUGUAAGUCAUAAAGUGCUCUAAAAUAUGUGAGCUAUUAUUACAAUUAAUGACAAAUCAAUUUAUACCACCUUCACUGUACCAGAUUAUGCAGCUUUAUUAUUUUUAUUUAUGAUACUGACAUGAAGUACUUAAUUGAUGUAAGCUAAUACAAUAAAAAAAAAAGUCCAAAUAACCAUUUAUUAUUUCUGGAGGCCCUUGUUAUAAUGUAUAGUAUAAGCUACUUAGGUAUUAGAGUACCCUCCUUUAUGGUAUCGACUCAGAGGAAAGUCUUUAAUGGUAUGCGGGUGAUACAGUGGAAGAACAGACAAGUCAAGACAAAAAGAGCUCAACAGAAUGAUGUGAUGUUGGAUUCUUCCAGUUUGAAAUAUAUAAUUUUAUGGGUUUAAUUUUAAUUUAAUAGAGAUAAAUGUAAAGUUUUAUACUUGAGUGUUAAAAAAAAUUAUGGUUAAAUGAAGAAAGAGAAGGUCAAUGUAAAAACAGUGCCUUUGAAAGGGACAAAUGGGCUGCAAAGUCAACAUAAUUCAACAGUGAGAUGAAGUGACUGAAAAAAUUAAUUCCACCUUAAGUGAUAGGAAAAACAUAGUAUCUAAUACAAGGGAGAUAACAGAUCUACUGUACCAGAGCACAACGGAGCAGGGAGCUCAGUUCUGGGUGCCACAUGUUAGACAGAGACAAGCAAUAGAGCAUCCCAGAGAGGGCCAAAAUGGUAGGCUGGCUGGAGACUGGAUCAUGCAAGUAUCAGUUGAAGAAGCUAGCAAAGCUUACCCUGGGGAAGAGAAGUCUUGGGGGGAUGGAGGACAUUAUGUGUUAGAGGGAGUAGACAGUUUCUUCCUGGUUGCUGAGAACAAAGCUCUAACCAUGAAGAUUUACUCCAUGGGAUACUUCUAACUAAAGCUAUUCAAAGUGGGAAGCAAUUGGUUCCCCAUGAUCUUUCAGUAGAGAGUGGAGAGCUUGUCAUUGAAAUUAUAGAGAAGGUGCUCUCUGUCAGGUCUGCGUUGAAUUACAUGUCUUUUCAGGACCCUUCUGACUUUUAGAUCUUUAAUAUUUUUCAUAUAUUUGUAUUCACUUUAUACUUAUGCUUUUCUUCUCUCUCUCUGUGUGUGUGUGUGUGUGUGUGUGUGUGUUUGUCUUUCCCAUUAGAAUAUAAGAUCCUUGCCAAUAGGGAUUGAUUUUUUUUUCUUUGCACUUGUAACCCUAUAGCUUGGCACCUUAGAAAACUGUAAGUAUUUAAUAAAUACGUGCUUAUUGAUUCAGUGAAGGGGAAAGGAAUAAGUACUUAUAGUGCACAUACCAUUUAUCAGACACUAAACACUUUUAAAUACUACCACCUGGUUUGAUUCUUACUAUCCUGAAAGGUAGAUGUUGUGACUCUCCAUUUUACUGUUCAGGAAACAGAGGCAGAGACUAAGUGACUUGUCCAGGGUCACUCAGUGAACGAGACCAGACUUGAACUCUGGCUUAAAUCCAAUGAUAUCUUUCAUUAGCACAGUAGGGCAGUUAUUUUAUGUGAUUUGCUAACUAAUUGGCAUCCUGGAAAGAAGACAGAGGGAGACAGACAGACAGAAGAGAGAGCAUGUUACGUGAGAAAGUUUGGAGAUCGGGACAGAAUUAACAAUAGUUAAUAACAUGUGCCAGACCCUGACAAAAGGUGAGAGAAGACUAAUAAGCGCUGCCGCCAGAAGGCAGGAUGCUCCAAUACCAAACAGAGACAGUGACCCAGGAGACCGGGCUGCAGCCCUGGUAGAAACUGCUUUGUGGGGAGAGGGCAAGAAGAGCUUGAGAACCCCUAGUCUCACUUACAUUGAGACUAACUCAAAUCCAGUUACACAUACAAACCUCCACGGAGAUUUCUGCCCAGGGCCCGGUAUUUGUUCCUUUUGAAGGUGACACCCUUUCUGUAACAAUGACAUUUGACAGGAACAGCAUACUCGCCAUCACUCCCUAUGACAGAUCUUUCGCUGGUCCUAUUUCCAGCCCGGCCCCUGCAGCCGUCACCAAGGAGAGCUACACUUUCUUUUUUAAUCUUUGUUUCCCAAAUACAUGCAAAGAUGGUUUUCAUCAUUCACGCUCGCAAAACCUUGUGUUCCAAUUUUUUCUCUCCUCCCCCCCCCCCAUAGCAAGUAAUCCAAUAUAGGUUAAAUAUGCACAAUUCUUCUAGAUAAGUGUCCAUGUGGACCGUGCCGCCCAGAAAGGAAGUACAACGAGAAGGAAAAUGAAAAGCGGGCCAACACGAGUGACAGUUCCAGGUUGUGACCCAGACUCGGCUCCCAGGGCCUCUCUCUGGUGCGGACGGCGCUCUUCCUCACUGAACAUGGGCCUGGCCCCAACCAUCUCACUGGGAACUGAUCCCCGCGCAAUCUCGCCGUUUCCGUGGCCGAUGCGCUUUGGGUUUCACGCGCUUCCCUCGGCACCAGUUCCUGUGGGUCUCCGCGGACCUCAUCCUGCCGGUCCUUUCUUACACCCCGUGACUGGCCCGGCCCUCCCCAACACGCCCUGAGUCCUACCUCGCGGGCCGCAGAGCCCCACUCUCGGAGGCGAGGUUGCCCUGCCCCCACCGACGCACAAGGAAGGCCCAAAGGCCUCCGCGACCAGAGCGUCACCGCCGCCCCUCCCCCCCAGCCGGGACCGGCCGCCCCUCCCCCGCCCCACAGACAGGGUCCCCGGCAGGAGGAAGUCCUUGUGGCUGAAGGAGUUCGACGUCAUAACCGGACGCUGUUCUAUGGCCUUAAAAAGCUGCCUCCUGCUCUGCUCGGUGCCCACAGCGGCCCUUUCUCACCUCCAUCUUGCCGCCUUUUUUGUAUCCUCGGGGCCCAGCAAAGAGCGCCGCCCAGAGGAAGCGCUUGAGGCAGUCGUUCACCCACCGGAGGAGCCGCUUCACACGCUUUCCCAGGGACCGCGCGCUACGUCGCACGCCUCGCGCCCAGAACGCUUCAGAGACGGACACCCGGACUGACGUGACCGGACAAAGGCGGGCGGCGGAGGAAGGCCCAGGAGGUCCCGGCUCGGCCCCCCAAGCUCCUCCUCCAGAUGUUCAGUGAAUGCAAUCCCCAAUAAAUAAAUGGUCAGAGAAUAUGAACAAGCAGUUUUCAGAAGAAGGAUAACAGUCCUGUGGCAAAAAUGCUGUAAAUCACUAAGAAUUAGAGAAAGCAAAUUAUAUUAUCCUUUAGUUUUCUGCCUCACAACUACCAGACUGGCAGUUGAGAGAAGAGGAAAAUGACAAAUGUUGGAGGAGUUGAGGAAAAACAGGUGAACUGAUGCUGUCUGGGGAGCUGAGAGUUGUUCCAGCCAUUCUAGAUGACAAUUUGGAAAUACGCCCAGAAAGACGUCAACUUGUGCAUCCACCACUUGGUCCAGCUGGGACUACGGCCCCAAGAAAGCAAAGGGAAAGUUUCUCAAAGUGGGUAACUAAGUGGAUACCUCCUUUGUGGAGAAUGGAUAAACAAAUUGUAGAAUAUGAAUGUAAUGGAAUGUCAUUGUGCUACCGAGGAACAGACAGCUUCAAAGAAAACUGCAAAGACCUUUAUAAACUAUUCCAGAGUGAAGUGAGCAGAAUUAAGAAAACAAUUUAUAUAAUAACAAACAUCAAAAAAAUCAAUUUUCAAAAGACCUUAGAUUGGUGACCAACACAAUAAUAAAUAAGGAAUCCAAAUGAAGGUGAAAUGGGUCACUCUCCCAAGAAACAUGACCUAAAAACACAGAAGAGACAACAUUCCUGAACACACAUGGUUAACAUGGGAAUUUGUUUUUUUUGGACCAUGCCCUGAAGGAUUUAACAGGCAUUUUGUUUGUUGCUUUUGUUUUGUUUGUUUGUUUGUUUUGCUCAAUGGGGUAGUGGGAUAGACAAG